rnacentral:rRNA from 1 species
UACGAAGGGGGCUAGCGUUGCUCGGAAUCACUGGGCUUAAAGCGUGUGUAGGCGGAUCGUUAAGUGUCUUGUGAAAUCCCACGGCUCACCCGUGGAACUGCUGGGCAUACUGGCGAUCUUGGGCCAACUAGGGGCAACUGGAACAAGCGGUGGAGCGGUGAAAUGCGUAGAUAUCGCUUGGAACGCCAAAGGUGAAAACAGGUGCUGGGGUUGUGCCGACGCUGAGACACGAAAGCCAGGGGAGCAAACGGG